GAGCUGGGUAGGGGAUGUGCCCGUGGACAGGAGUUGACCUUCUAGCUGUGGGCCAGCCCCGGGCAGCCAGUGGACCAGUGGGAGGCAGAGGCCAGAGGGUGGGAGGCCAUGGCGGCUCCCGGUGUCUGAGAUCACUGGCUGCUGCUUAGGCAGAGGCUGGACGGCCAGGUGGGACUGUCGCCUCCUUGGUCACAGCCCCUCCCAGGAUAGCCUCUCAGCUGGAGGCAGGGCUGUGCUGCCGGGUGUGGACCCCGCGGAUGGGUGACUGGCACAGACCCCCUUCCACACAGACCCGGGCUUGCUGUGUUUUCUCUCGGGGGAGGAAACAGUGCCCUCUGCCGGACUCUUCAGGGAUUGCAGGUGCCCCCGACCCAGAAAGCAGCUUCCUCCCGGAUCAGCCCAGAAGCAGGACAGCCAGGGGCCAGGCAGGCGUGGAUCUGGGCAGUGAAGGCGUGUGUGAGCCACAGGCACUGUAUGACCUAUGGGAUGGCAGCAGAGCCAGGAUCAGAGGAUCCCAGAGGGCCUCUGGAAGGCAGAGUGCAGUGACCCUGCAGGAAGCUUGGACAGGAGGACCAGACCCGGCCCUGGCUCCUACUCUACUCCAACCCCAGGCACGCACUGAGCCCUGGCCCCGUCCCCUGUGGACCGUAUGGAGGGUGAGACCACGGGAUGGGUGUCCGCAGUGCCCUCUAGGAUGCCGUCCCCCGACACGGCACCAUGGUGCUACCUCCUCCGGCAUCACGAUUCUGCCUCACCAGCACCACAGCCUUGCCUCCAGGGCCAUGGCCCCAGACAGUGGCCACUGCCUCACUGGCUGUGAGUGUGCGCGGGGCCUCCUUCAUCACACUCAGAGAAGAGGGACCCUGGGCUUCACCGGAUGAAACUGGUAAGGGGUGGGGUGGGCAGACCACCAGAGAGUGGUGACCCUCACUGUACCUCAUUCCUGCGGUGCCCCCCGACAAGCCUCUGAGGGAAGGCCCCAUCCUUGCCAUUUUCCGUGAGGAGCCUGAGUGAGCAAAGGGCGGAGGCGACCCUGACCCCAGAGCGAGAUGGCUGUGUCUCCCCGCCCUCCCUGCACUCCCCUUUCGCUUGCAGUUCCCUGGGGCAUUUGCCCUGGGGCCACCAGGGGAGAGGGGUCCGGCCCUCAGACUGUCCAGAAACACCUGGAGGGGUGGGCCCCUGCCACCUGCCCCUUGCCCACACAGCGCAGGGCUGUUGCCUGCGCACCUGACAGCUCCAGAGCUCCCGCGGCCCUGGACGAGCUCUGUCCAAGGUGCUGAAGGAGAAGCGCUGAGCCCUAGGUGGUUUUGCUGCUCACUGAUGUCCCCGCAAGGGCCAGGAAGGGUCAGGAACGACUUGGGUCUGAGGAAGUCGACCUGGGCCCCCCGGGGAGCUGUCGUGUGUGUGUGUCCCAGUCGACAACGAGUGAGGAACUGAGGCCUCUGCCAGACGCUGUGUGACUAAGCUUAGAAGCAGACGCCUCCUCAGUGGAACCCUCAGAUGACCCAGCCCAGCUGGCACCUCCACUGUAGCUCAGAGCCACCCUGAGCUGAGCCCCUUAUGAGUUCCUGAUUAAAGAAACCAAGAGAGAGUACAAACGGUUCCUGCUGUCUGGCACUCCGCGGUUCUGGGAAAUUUGUUGCACUGACUGGCAUGGGAUUGGGUAAGCCGCCCUCCACCUCCAGGGGCAUUCACUCAGUGGUUUCAUGCCCCAGAGCCCCCAGUGAGGCCAACUGAAACUGGCUUCUGGCUACGAACAAAGCCUUGCCCAGCUCUUUCCUCUUACAGUCCUGCUUCUUUUGAGAGACUCCCUUAGCAAAGCUCUUGAACAAAAGGCCUCAUUGUAUGCUCUCCUUCCAGGGAGUCUGACCUGAGACAGUGGCUGUUCUCAGCAGGGUUGACCAUCGCUCUGCAGGAUCCUGGGUGAUGAGAGUGGUCUCCCUCUGGAGUCUGCCUCUGAAAUGGUGCUGAGAGAUGAUUCCUCGUGGGUCUCUCAUGUUUCUGCACAUGGCCAAGUUUGUUCUGCUCAGGGCUGGACCCAGCACUCCCCUCGCAGGAAUGGAAGUGGGGUGGGGGUGGGGGGUGAGUAGAAUCAAGCCAUCGAGCCAGGUCCUGAGCAGAAUAAACAUGGUCAACAUGGUUGAAGACCCAGGCCCUCCACCCUUGUUCUGCCGGAGCAAGAGGUGGGCUUUCCUUGAGAGGAGGCUGGGAGAGCGAGUCUGGGGAGAGGUGGAGAAGGGGACUUGCCUCCCAACUGGGAUCACAGCUGGAAUCAAGGGCCCUGGGUCCCUGCUCUCACCAGGCUGGGAGCACCGACGCCAGCAGAGGGUGGGAGUCCAGGGUGCUAGAGGCACUGGAAGGAGGCUACAGUUGAUGGAACUCCUUCGGGGCACCCACCUAGACUCCAGUCUUCUUCUCUGUGAGGUGGCUGACAGGUCCCUGCCCAGCUCUCCCCUCCCUGGUGUCCCAGUUCUCAGGGUGUUUGUGCCUCCCUGAGGAUGAGCCAUUCCUGGACCCCUGCAGCUCUCAGCACUUCUUAUCUCUGGCAAAGGCCACCUGCAAGCAAACCAGAAACUCCUCAACGUCAGGGUGUGAUGAAUCACCUAUGGACUUCCCCGGUGCCCCCGUCACCAAAGGAAGUCUCCAAUAAAGCAUUGUUG
rnacentral:lncRNA from 10 species